ACAUGAAUAUAUACAAAUAAUUUCCAAAUGCCAAGUAAUUUUAGGGAUCCUUUCAUCCGCCAUUACAGUUUCUAAGCUAUCCAUCUGAAUUUUGGAAUCUCAUGCUGCUGCAGAGGAAAAAAUUCACUCCGAUUCUGCGUGGUUGUGAUAUGCCGGAAUGGAAGGAAUUUUGAAGUCCGUUAUACGAUUAUAUCCACUGUAUGCACGUACCAACCAACCACGUACAAACCAACUUUCAAUAUUGAAUGUCGACUGUCGAAGGAGCCACUGGAACUCUAAUUGGGUCAAUAGGAAAUCAAAUAUAUUCACAUCUAAAAUUUUUUAUUAAUUCAUUUCUUUCCUCUUUCAGAUAAGAUGUAUUCUGUAAUUCAAAAUAAAAAAAAAAACUAACAAACUGAGGGAAUCUCCAGGAAGUGAUUCAAAAAAUAAACAUGAAAUAAUAAAAGUACUGUGAUAUAUAUUUCAAAAAUAACCCCCCUUUUGUAAAGCAUUGAGAGCAGACGAUUUUGAAAUGGUGCAUAUUUGACUAUGGACCAUUAACAGAAACCCGUAAAUCCGAACUUGUGCUAUUCUAUUGAGGUUACAAGACCGGCAUUAUGGGAGUCUGUCAAUGUAAACAACAUAUAAAUGAAAAAUACAAAAA